UACAGAGGGGGCGAGCGUUGUUCGGAAUUACUGGGCGUAAAGGGCGCGUAGGCGGCCUUCUAAGUCGAACGUGAAAUCCCCGGGCUCAACCCGGGAACUGCGUCCGAUACUGGGAGGCUUGAAUCCGGGAGAGGGAUGUGGAAUUCCAGGUGUAGCGGUGAAAUGCGUAGAUAUCUUGAGGAACACCGGUGGCGAAGGCGGGUCUCUGGGCCGAUACUGACGCUGAGGAGCGAAAGCGUGGGGAGCGAACAGG
rnacentral:rRNA from 1 species